UACGGGGGGGGGCAAGCGUUGUUCGGAAUUACUGGGCGUAAAGGGCUCGUAGGCGGCCAACUAAGUCAGACGUGAAAUCCCUCGGCUUAACCGGGGAACUGCGUCUGAUACUGGAUGGCUUGAGUUCGGGAGAGGGAUGUGGAAUUCCAGGUGUAGCGGUGAAAUGCGUAGAUAUCUGGAGGAACACCGGUGGCGAAGGCGGCAUCCUGGACCGGUUCUGACGCUGAGGCGCGAAAGCGUGGGUAGCAAACAGG
rnacentral:rRNA from 1 species